CUACGAGUCGCUCCAGUGGGGAAUAUUGCACAAUGGGCGCAAGCCUGAUGCAGCCAUGCCGCGUGUAUGAAGAAGGCCUUCGGGUUGUAAAGUACUUUCAGCGGGGAGGAAGGGAGUAAAGUUAAUACCUUUGCUCAUUGACGUUACCCGCAGAAGAAGCACCGGCUAACUCCGUGCCAGCAGCCGCGGUAAUACGGAGGGUGCAAGCGUUAAUCGGAAUUACUGGGCGUAAAGCGCACGCAGGCGGUUUGUUAAGUCAGAUGUGAAAUCCCCGGGCUCAACCUGGGAACUGCAUCUGAUACUGGCAAGCUGGAGUCUCGUAGAGGGGGGUAGAAUUCCAGGUGUAGCGGUGAAAUGCGUAGAGAUCUGGAGGAAUACCGGUGGCGAAGGCGGCCCCCUGGAUGAAGACUGACGCUCAGGUGCGAAAGCGUGGGGAGCAAACAGGAUUAGAUACCCCGGUAGUC
rnacentral:rRNA from 1 species